GCGGACAUAGCUCAGUUGGGAGAGCGUCAGACUGAAGUCMAACUUCAAUCACUUUAAUCUGAAGGUCGUGUGUUCAAUCCACACUGGCCGCA
rnacentral:tRNA from 2 species